rnacentral:rRNA from 1 species
CCUACGGGUGGCAGCAGUGGGGAAUAUUGCACAAUGGGGGGAACCCUGAUGCAUCUCCGCCGCUUUUUUUCCUUCUUCUUUCUUUCUUUCCCGCCCUCUCAGCAGGGAAGAACAAUGACGGUACCUGACUAAGAAGCACCGGCUAAAUACGUGCCAGCAGCCGCGGUAAUACGUAUGGUGCAAGCGUUAUCCGGAUUUACUGGGUGUAAAGGGAGCGCAGGCGGCGCGUUAAGCCUGGUGUGAAAGCCCGCGGCCCAACCGCGGGACUGCAUUGGGAACUGGCGCGCUGGAGUGCCGGAGGGGUAGGCGGAAUUCCUAGUGUAGCGGUGAAAUGCGUAGAUAUUAGGAGGAACACCAGUGGCGAAGGCGGCCUACUGGACGGUGACUGACGCUGAGGCUCGAAAGCGUGGGGAGCAAACAGGAUUAGAUACCCUGGUAGUC